rnacentral:rRNA from 1 species
GACGAACGCUGGCGGCGUGCUUAACACAUGCAAGUCGAACGGUGAAGCGCCUUCCUUUUUGGUGGGUGUGGAUGAGUGGCGAACGGGUGAGUAACACGUGAGUAACCUGCCCCCUUCUUCUGGAUAACCGCAUGAAAGUGUGGCUAAUACGGGAUAUUCUGGGUCUGUCGCAUGAUGGGUCUGGGAAAGAUAUUGUUUCGGUGGGGGAUGGGCUCGCGGCCUAUCAGCUUGUUGGUGGGGUGAUGGCCUACCAAGGCGGUGACGGGUAGCCGGCCUGAGAGGGUGGACGGUCACACUGGGACUGAGACACGGCCCAGACUCCUACGGGAGGCAGCAGUGGGGAAUAUUGCACAGUGGGCGCAAGCCUGAUGCAGCGACGCCGCGUGAGGGAUGGAGGCCUGCGGGUUGUGAACCUCUUUCGCCAGUGAAGCAGGCCUGCCUCGUUUGUGGGUGGGUUGACGGUAGCUGGAGAAGAAGCGCCGGCUAACUACGUG